GGGUGUUAGCUCAGUUGGUUAGAGCGCCGGCCUGUCACGUCGGAGGUCGCGAGUUCAAGUCUCGUAC
rnacentral:tRNA from 1 species